rnacentral:rRNA from 1 species
GGAAUUGACGGGGGCCCGCACAAGCGGUGGAGCAUGUGGUUAAUUCGAAGCAACGCGAAGAACCUUACCAGGUCUUGACAUCCCGAUGCUAUUUCUAGAGAUAGAAAGUUACUUCGGUACAUCGGUGACAGGUGGUGCAUGGUUGUCGUCAGCUCGUGUCGUGAGAUGUUGGGUUAAGUCCCGCAACGAGCGCAACCCCUAUUGUUAGUUGCCAUCAUUCAGUUGGGCACUCUAGCGAGACUGCCGGUAAUAAACCGGAGGAAGGUGGGGAUGACGUCAAAUCAUCAUGCCCCUUAUGACCUGGGCUACACACGUGCUACAAUGGUUGGUACAACGAGUUGCGAGUCGGUGACGGCGAGCUAAUCUCUUAAAGCCAAUCUCAGUUCGGAUUGUAGGCUGCAACUCGCCUACAUGAAGUCGGAAUCGCUAGUAAUCGCGGAUCAGCACGCCGCGGUGAAUACGUUCCCGGGCCUU